rnacentral:rRNA from 1 species
GUGAGGAAUAUUGGUCAAUGGGCGCAAGCCUGAACCAGCCAUGCCGCGUGCAGGAAGACGGUCCUAUGGAUUGUAAACUGCUUUUAUUUGGGAAUAAACCUCCUUACGUGUAGGGAGCUGAAGGUACCAAAUGAAUAAGCACCGGCUAACUCCGUGCCAGCAGCCGCGGUAAUACGGAGGGUGCAAGCGUUAUCCGGAAUCAUUGGGUUUAAAGGGUCCGCAGGCGGUCAUAUAAGUCAGUGGUGAAAGCCUACAGCUCAACUGUAGAACUGCCAUUGAUACUGUAUGACUUGAAUUCGAUCGAAGUGGGCGGAAUGUGACAUGUAGCGGUGAAAUGCUUAGAUAUGGCACAGAACACCAAUUGCGAAGGCAGCUCACUAAGGCGAUACUGACGCAGAGGCACGAAAGCGUGGGGAUCGAACAGGAUUAGAAACCCUUGUAGUCC